CCCUGUGAAGAGGUGCCUUCCACCAUGAUUCUAGGUGUCCUGUGGCUUCCCCAGUCACUUGGAACUACAAUAGCUGAAGAAUGUGAGAAAGAAAAAUCAAAAGCACACAAAUGAGACUGUGCAGUGAAGAGGCCACAGAGACAACCAUACUGUCUUUUUGUAUCACAAUAAGCAAAAAUACCAAGGAAAGAGGUUUAUUGAGCACGUGGUUCUCUAGGCUGGGAAGUUCAAGACUGGACAGCUGCAUCUGGAAGCUUCUGGUAAAGGCUUUGUACAGUAUGAAAAUAUAGAGAAACAGAAGGGGAAGCAGGUGUUGUUAAGAGACCAGACAUGAGAGACAGCCUCAUUUUAUAACAGCCAGGGUAACUAAAUCAGUCUGAGGAGAGCAAGAAUUUACUCUUGGAAAAAAGACAUUAACUUCUCUUAACGAUCUAAUCUUAAGGCACAAUGUCUCAACAAUGUCUCACUUGGGAACAAGCAUCAACGUGAGUUUUGAUGGGAACAAACCAUCUUCAAAUUAUAGCAGUUUACUUUUCACUCUAUUAAUUGUGUUCUUUGAUGAAUGAAAGUUUUUGAUUUUGAUCAAGGCCAAUUUAUCUAUUUCUUCUUUUUUGUUAUCUGUACUUUUUAUGUCAUACCUGUAAAAUCAUUGCCAAACUCAAUGCCAUGAAUUCUUUUAUCCAUAUUUUCUCCUAAGAGUUUUAUAUUUUAGCUCUUAUGUUUAAGUCUUUGAUACAUUUUGAGUUAAAUUUUGUACAUGGUGUAAUAUAAAUAUCCAACUUUUGCAUGUAGAUAUAUUUUCCCAAGCAAAAUUGUUGAAAAGACUGUUCUUUUCCCAUCGAAUAAUUUUGGCACACCUGUAAAAAAUAACUGGAUUAUGAAUUCAGGGGUUGAUUUCUGGACUGCCUAUUACUGCCAAUUAGUAUUUAUGCCUGUACCACACUGUUUUGAUUACUGUAGCUUUGUAAUAACUUCUGAAAUUAAGGAGCAUAAGACCUACAAGUGUGUUUUUUCUCAAGAUUGUUUUGGCUAUUCAGGUCCCUUGAGAUUCCAUGUAAACUUUAGGAUGUAUUUUUCUAUUUCUGCAAAAAACAUCAUUGAAAUUUUUAUAGGGAUUUUCACUAAAUCUAUGGAUCAUUUUAUGUAGUAUUGACAUUUUAACAUUAUUCUAAUCAGUGAAAAUGGAUUUCCAUUUAUUUAUGUCUUCUUUAAUUUCUGUCAGCUUCAUUUUAUAGUUUUUAGUGUACAUGUCUUUAGCCUGCUUGGUUACAUUUAUUUCUAAGUAAAUGAAAUUGUUUUUUAUAUUUCCUUUUCAGAUUGUUCAUUAUUAGUGAACAAUGAUAUGCAGCUAAAUUUCAUGUGUUGAUUUUGUAUUCUGCAACAUUGCUGAAUUUAAAUUAGAACUGAGCCCUAUUAGUUUUUUGCCACAUUUUUAGGAUUUUCUGUGUGUAAGAUCAUGUCUUUUAAAAGAAAUAAUUUUAGUUUUAUUUUUCCAAUUUCAAUGUAUUUCAUUUAUUUAUUUGUUGCCUAAUUUCCCUGGUGAGGAGUCUAUUAAAUAGAGGGAUGAAAGUGGGUAUCCUUACAUUGUUUGAUUCUAAGUUUCUUUUUAAAUUAUAAACACAG
rnacentral:lncRNA from 1 species